UGGAAACGUUGUUCGCAGAGUUCUCAACUUGCUACACUUGUGAAAAACAAGUUUUGGUUUAUUUCAUAACCAUUUAUGAGUUAUGACAUUUUUUUCAUAGUCUUAUUCUUUGGGUGUCUUUGAGUGUCUUCUUUGGGAUUUGGUUGGCUGAGCGCAUCCAAUAUUUAGGUGCAUAUACCACCACCUACAGUACUGGUGUGUGAGGCCAUUCACGGCCUAUCUGCAUUACGUUAUUUGAUACGAUACUCGUCUAAAUUCUAACAUAACCUCUACCCACAUCUCAACAUUCUUCGACCCGCCUCUCAAUAGACUAAAACCAACCUCAGCCUGCCAGUGACUUGGAUUACAGGGCACACGUCACCAUGCCCGGCCGACCAAGAGCCCUCCAAAACGGAAACCUUCGAGCACGCCUGGUUUCUCUGUCUUGUUAAUGUUGAGGGAGCUUGUGCGCCUGAGCAUGCACAGAAGUACGUGGCCUGCUGCGCUCGUGGGACAUUUAAGCCAUGAACAAUGUCUGACAGGCAACCCCGUCUCCCAGGCUGCAUGCUGCCCUCAAGACCAGAGCCAAUCGCUUGCAAGGAACGAGCAGAUAGCCAAGAAGGCUGAACUUGGGUCACCUUAAAUCACACACAUCUUUAAUCUAAUAUUCUAGCUCUAUCCAAACUUGUUUAGGCAUUUUAGGAAAAUAAGAAAAUGGCAACAGAGGAAAAAACAAAGUACCAAAACACAUGAAGAAGUGAAAGGAAAGGGUUUCAAAGGUGAAGAAAGGCAAAUGAGUGGAUCCAGAAAUCAGGAAUACUCUGGAUACUAUCCCUAAACAUGAACUUUAACCCAGUAACUCUGAACUGAUGGACUUGGAAGAUAAUGGACAUUCUCUGUGCGUAAACCUCAGUGUUGCUCAACACACAGGUCCUCAGUAACAGUGUAGCCAAACUGGUGAACAGAAGUACAAUAUUAGGCCACACUAAACCUUCCAAUUGAAAAACUGACAUUUCAGUGGAAAUUGUAUGUUUCUGUAUGAGAGAUGUUGGAAAAAUAUUGUGGACAAUGCCCUUAGCCGUGGUAUAUUGGCCAUGCACCACAAAACCCCUAAGGUUUCUUAUUGCUAUUAUAAUCUGCUUACCAUUCCACUGUACAGUAACAUGCUAUUUUGGGCUCCCUUGUGGCUCGGUGGUCUAAGAUACUGCAUCUCAGUGCAAGAGGCGUCAUUGCAGUACUUGAUUCGAAUCCAGGCUGCAUCACAUCCGGCUGUAAUUGGGAGUCCCAUAGGGCGGCGCACAAUUGGCCCAGCAUUGUCCGGGUUUGGCCAGGGUAGGCCGUCAUUGUAAAUAAGAAUUUGACUUGCCUAGUUAAAUAUUACAUUUUUAAAUAUACAUGACGUCAGAGCUCUGACUCUGCGCCUUAUAGCGCUGUAUGGGUUUUGAUUUACAGCCGUUCUGAACUUGAGCAACUCGCGUGACAAGAAGUUGCCCCCCAUCUCUCUCGCUAAUUGGGCAAUUGUCUGAGUGAGGGAAAUGCUAUAAAUUAAAAAGACUCUAUGUAUUUUGAUAGCUGAGACUUAUGUCAUACAAGCAAGCCAAACACCCCUGAAUACACUUCACAUUUCCAAAUAAAACUCAUGUCACAUUUAUGAUCACUAUGUUUGAUGUACAGUUAUAAGAUUACAUGGUGCCAUGCCCUGGGUUGUUCUGAACACAGCACGCGCACUCAUGACUCAUUUCUAUGCACACCAAAAUUGUUUCCCAGAAUUGCAUUGUGGAAGCCUAACACUGUAAUAUUGUAUUUUAUGACAUUGUUGGUAAUGUUGGCAAUAGAACAAGCUUUCAUAUGAUGCCCACCUGUCCCAGACUGCGAUUUAUAAUGCAUUAUUUUUCGAUUGCGAAUACAACACUAAUUGUGUGAUGACGGGGUUGUUGCCCAAACAAAACAACUGCAAGUGUGCUUGCUCUAUUUCCUCAACGGCACAGCUAGGAGAGUUCAAACAAAGCACCUAAUAGUUGAAGACUCAAGUCAUAAAAGUGCAUUGAAAUGGCUUAGGAACUGUGCACACUUGAGUUGUGUGGCCACUUGGAGACACCAGUUAGUCCUCUCACUCAAACCCUUAUUCUUUUGUCUUUUGUUGCACCUGCCUGACAUUUUACAGGAAUAUUCUUAUCAUGUUACUGAAUGUAUCCGGAGUAUUUUCUGAUUUCGUUAUCAACGAAUGUGAACAAAUGUGAACUGUUGUCCUCAUUUUUGGUCUAAUAAUUUUCCCAUAAUCUCCAAACUGUUCCCUUUCAAUUGCUACCAUGUUUAUGCAUUUUCAUAUUCAUUUUUGUAAGAAUACAUUUAAAUGUAGCCCUAUCCAUAUAGGCCCAUUCCCACAGGUGUAAAGAGGUUUCAAGGGCUCUUCUAUGUACAGUUACUGCAACAGCUUGCUGGCAGGUGCUCCUGAUGUCUUGUGCUAAAAUGAGCCGUAUGUACACCAAAAUAACCACAUGGAAAUUGUGUAUUGCAGCCAGUAAUCUUUCAUUUAUUUUAAGGUAUGGAAAAUAUUAAACAAGAAAAUGUACUUCA